UUAAAUUGAAGAGUUUGAUCAUGGCUCAGAUUGAACGCUGGCGGCAGGCCUAACACAUGCAAGUCGAGCGGUAGCACAGAGAGCUUGCUCUCGGGUGACGAGCGGCGGACGGGUGAGUAAUGUCUGGGAAACUGCCUGAUGGAGGGGGAUAACUACUGGAAACGGUAGCU
rnacentral:rRNA from 1 species